AUACGGAGGGGGCUAGCGUUGUUCGGAAUUACUGGGCGUAAAGCGCGUGUAGGCGGAUCGUUAAGUCAGGGGAGAAAGCCCGGGGCUCAACCCCGGAACUGCCCUUGAUACUGGCGAUCUAGAGUCCGGAAGAGGUGGGCGGAAUUCCCGGUGUAGAGGUGAAAUUCGUAGAUAUCGGGAGGAACACCAGUGGCGAAGGCGGCUCACUGGUCCGGCACUGACGCUGAGACGCGAAAGCGUGGGGAGCAAACAGGAUUAGAAACCCUGGUAGUCC
rnacentral:rRNA from 1 species